rnacentral:rRNA from 1 species
GGGGAUAACGUUCGGAAACGGACGCUAAUACCGCAUACGUCCUACGGGAGAAAGCAGGGGACUUUCGGGCCUUGCGCUAUCAGAUGAGCCUAGGUCGGAUUAGCUAGUUGGUGAGGUAAUGGCUCACCAAGGCGACGAUCCGUAACUGGUCUGAGAGGAUGAUCAGUCACACUGGAACUGAGACACGGUCCAGACUCCUACAGGAGGCAGCAGUGGGGAAUAUUGGACAAUGGGCGAAAGCCUGAUCCAGCCAUGCCGCGUGUGUGAAGAAGGUCUUCGGAUUGUAAAGCACUUUAAGUUGGGAGGAAGGGCAGUUACCUAAUACGUGAUUGUUUUGACGUUACCGACAGAAUAAGCACCGGCUAACUCUGUGCCAGCAGCCGCGGUAAUACAGAGGGUGCAAGCGUUAAUCGGAAUUACUGGGCGUAAAGCGCGCGUAGAUGGUUUGUUAAGUUGGAUGUGAAAUCCCCGGGCUCAACCUGGGAACUGCAUUCAAAACUGACUGACUAGAGUAUGGUAGAGGGUGGUGGAAUUUCCUGUGUAGCGGUGAAAUGCGUAGAUAUAGGAAGGAACACCAGUGGCGAAGGCGACCACCUGGACUGAUACUGACACUGAGGUGCGAAAGCGUGGGGAGCAAAC